rnacentral:tRNA from 1 species
AUUAGCGUAGCAAAGUCUGGUAUUGCAAAAGAUCUAAGCCCUUUACACAGAGAUUCAACUUCUCUCGCUAAUU